rnacentral:lncRNA from 1 species
UUGCACGUGCUUCAUCUCAGGUGGACUUAAUAACUGUCCCUCUCUUCCCAGCUCUGUGCAUUUUAAAGAGGAGUCUGGGGAUGUCUCUGCUGCUAAUGGUGGAUUUCAGUUGCCAGAGAGGAAAGAAAACAAACAUUUGCAGGAUGCUUGUGCUUUCCUUGCAAAUGUUCUUUAUUAAUCUUUGCAGAGGUAGAGUCCACUAUCCCCGUUUUACAGGCAAGGAAACUGGGAUUCAGGCCACACAACCGGUUAAUCCCAUCCUGAGCCACGGAAACUGGAGCUGGGAGUUUCACCACCUUAUCACCACCAGAGAGCCUCCAAGAUCCUCCUUCCCCUCCUUCUCUCUCCUACUUCUCCCACCUCCUCCUUUUUCUCCUAGCAGGAUUCUGACAAGUCCGGAGUACGUCCCCUCAUCAUCAGGGCAGGAGGUAACGUGCUGAAUUUAAUAGCAAAGCAAAUUUUGCUGGAGAAGAAAUGAGAUUUCUUUGUCAAGGUAGGUAGUAUGAUCGUUCCCAUUCUGCAGAUGACAACACUGAGGCACAGAGAGGACUGAAGCUUGUCCAAGCUCCCACAGCUGGAAAGUGGAGGUGCCAGUCUUUCAGCCCAGGCAGCCUGCACCAGCACCUAUCCUUUGAGAUUUGAAAGACGCUCCAGCUCUCCUACUUUCUUUUCUUUCUUUUUUUUUUAAGACAGUAUUUCUCUUGCUCUGUUACCCGGGCUGGAAUGCAGUGAUGUGAUUGUGGCUCACUGCAGCCUCAAACUCCUGGGCUCAAGCAAUCUUCCCACUCAUCUUCCAGAGUAGCAGGGACUACAGGUGUGUGCUACCAUACCUGGCUAAUUUUUUUAUUUUUAAUAAGUCAGGGUCUUGCCAUGUUGCCCAGGCUGACCUCAAACUCCUGGCCUCAAGCGAUCCUCCCACCUCAGCCUCCCAAAGUGCUGGGAUUACAGGCAUGAGGCACUAGGCCCGGGCUCUCCCACUUUCUUCACUACCUCCCUGAGCCUCAACUGCGUCAUCUGUAACAUGGGGCCAGUAAUCGUUGUCAACAUGAAGAGCUGUUGUUAGGAGCCAAUGAAAUAAAAAUAAAUUUAAAACAACUUAGUACAGAAAUAGCAUUCCCUUUGAAGCCUUGCUCUCUGCCUUCCAAAAUGGGAAGUGUCCCUUCUUAUCCGGCUGGUUGAGGACCUAUGACACAGAGGUGCUGUUCUAGGCACUGGGAAUAGAACAGUGAACAAAAUGAACAAAAAUCCCUGCCCUUGUGGAACUUACAAUUAGUGGGAGACAGACCAUAAACAAGACAAAUAAGUACAUUAUAACCUAUAUUAGAGAAGGUAAAUACAAUAGAACAAAACGAGGCAACAGAGGAGGGGUUGGAGCACUGAUUGGGAAGGGCUGCAGUUCAAACAGGGCAGUCUGAGUUGGUCUCACCAAGAAAGUGACUUGAAGGAAGCAAAAGAGUGAGCAAAUAUUCAGGAUAACAGCACUGCUCAGGAAGAGGAAACAGCAGUGCAAAGGCUCUGAGGUGGGACUGCACUGUUCGUGUUACAGGAACAGUAAGGAGGCCAGAGUAGCUGUGUUAGCAAAGGUAGCAUAGUAGGAAUUGGAGUCACAAAUUCCAGAGGAAGUGCAGCUAGUGUAGGGUCUUGAUGGUCUUUGUAAGGACUUUUAGCUUUUAUCUGAAUGAGACAAGAAUCUAUCAGAGGGUUUUAGGCAUGAUCUGAUUGAUGUUUUAAAGGUAUAGCUGGGACAGCGGUAUUGAGACUAGACUAUAGGGGGCCAAGGGCAGAAGCAGAGAGGAGAGUUAGGAAGCUAUUGCAAAAACCCAGGUGAGAGUAGGUGGCAGCUUAGUUCAGGGAGGUAGUGACACAGAUGAUGCUGAAGUCUGAUUCUGGAUGUAUUGCGAAAGGGAAAGCCCCCAGGAUGAGCUGAUCAUCAAAAGUGAGGAAUGGGAGAAAGAAGCAAUCACCGCGGAUGAUUCUGAGGAUUUUACCCCUUCCACCUCUCAAUUCCUGAAGACCCAUCCCUUCCUUUUAAAAUCCAACUCUGGCCGGGCAUGCUGGCUCACGCCUGUAAUCCCAGCACUUUGGAAGGCCAAGACGGGCAGAUCACGAGGUCAAGAGAUCGAGACCAUCCUGGCCAAUGUGGUGAAACCCCAUCUUUACCAAAAAUACAAAAAUUAGCCGGGCGCGGUGGUGCACACCUGUAGUCCCAGCUACUCAGGAGGCUGGGGCAGGAGAAUCACUAGAAGCUGGGAGGCAGAGGUUGCAGUAGCCGAGGUUGAGCCAUUGCAUUCCAGCCUGGCGACAGAGCAAGGCUCCGUCUCAAAAAAAAAAAAAAAAAAAAUUCCAGCCCCCUCUCUCGGGGCUCUAUUGGAGAUCCACUGCUUUCAUCCCUCUCUCUUUCCAUUGUCCAGGCAUUUGCCUUACAGAGCCCAGGGCAGAGGACCCUGGUCAAACAACUUGACCCAGGGUAUAAAUCUGCCUCAUGGCCUUCUGGGGCUCCCCCAGUCCUUACCCUGGCUCAGAAGGUCCCAUCACAGUCUGCCGUCCACCUCAGCAGCCCCUCAAGGUCCCUUGCUCCUCCUGACUGCAGUACCCCUUUUCUCGCUCCCUGGAACUGCCUCUGCUCUUCUAUCUCACACAGCUGCCCACCAUGCUGCCCUCAGGUCUCAGUGGGAGCAUCACCACCCCUGGGAAACCUUCCCUGACCUGCUAUUCUGGAGGAAGCCCCUGAUUCCAGGCUCUCAAGCCCUGAGCCUCUACCACAGGGUUGCGUGUCUCUUUCCUUGUGUGAUUAUUUGAUGAAAGCCUGUCUCCCCACGUGACUAUAACCUCCAUAAAGGCAGGGCCCACCUGUAUCGCUAGAAGCAGACAAUUCACCAAAAGAGACAUUCAGUGGAUCUGACUUGGAUCCUUAGGCUUUUGGUAAAUUAACUUUCAUUGACCUAAAGCCUCCAGCUGCUAGGUAAAUGUCUGGCACAUAGCAGGUACUUCACAUAUAUUUAUUGAAGGAAUGAAUCAGAGUUCUCUAAGAUCUUGGGCAUGUGACAAACUUCCUGAGCCUCAGUUUCCCCAUAUGUAAGGAUGGGAAUAAGAAUACCUAUCUCAUGAGUCAUUGUGAGAAUUAAAAAACCUACGGCAUGAGCAAUGCCUCACACUAGUAGAUGCUCAAUAAUUGUUCCAAUGCAUGUUCAGACAAUUACCACCUUACAACUCCCCUGUGCUUCCCCUCCCCUCCCCCACUCCCUCUCAUCCCUCCUUCCAUUCUCCAGCCUCCUCCCCUCCCCACCCUUCCCCUCCUAAGGACUCCCAGAUGUGGAAUCACCAAAGCCUCUGAACGUUCCCCUUCUCCCCCAAGAUCCCCCAAUGCGCCACUGGUUACAUAUUGAUCCUGUUUAACUUUCCCAAUGGAUGAUAAACAUGAAAUUAAAAUGACUUCCUGGAAUAUUAAUGUAGUAAAUGGCCCUAUUAAAAGAAAGAAAAUACAGCUGAGAAAAUUCGCUUUGAUGUAGCGUUUCUGCAGGAGGCUCAUUUAUCUGCAGCUCAGACUCUCAAAAUGAGAUUCUGAAGGUUUCUCUGAUGUCUCUUAUUUUUCCCUCACCCAGAAUUUAAACAGAAAAUAGAAUCACAAGCUAGUGUCAUAAAACGUGGGCCUUUUCCCUUCUCCACCAAAAAGCAAAUGAAAACAGGGCCAGGUUGAUGUCAGUCUCUGCAAACAUGGGGCUGAGGACUCACCUGCUCCUCCCAAUCUCCUCUGUAUCUUGCUCACUGGGGCCUGGUCCAGGCUGCCAGGCCGGCUGCCUAGAUUCAGCAGGGGUUCCCAGAAGCCUGUGCUGCUACUGCUGCUGCUGAAGUUAGGAAAGUUGCCUCAGAGCUGGGUGCAGUGGCUCACGUCUGUAAUCCCAACACUUUGGGAGCCUGAGGCAGGUGGAUUAUCUGAGGUCAGGAGUUCGAGACCAGCCUGACCAACAUGGUGAAACCCUGUCUCUACUAAAAAUACAAAAAAAAAAAAAGCUGGGCCUGGUGGCAGGUGCCUGUAAUCCCAGCUACUCAGGAGGCUGAGG